GCCGGGCAUGGUGGCGGAUGCCUGUGGUCCCAGCUACUUGGGAGGCUGAGUCAGGAGAAUGGUGUGAACCCGGGAGGCGGAGCUUGCAGUGAGCGGAGAUUGUGCCACUGCACUUCAGCCUGAGCACAGAGCGAAAUAAUGGCCAAAGUUUUUCUUUAUUCUUUUUUUUUUUUUUUUGACGGAGUCUCACUCUGUCACCCAGGCUGGAGUGCACGGGCACAAUCUCGGCUCACUGCAAGCUCCACCUCCUGGGUUCACGCCAUUCUCCUGCCUCAG
rnacentral:SRP_RNA from 1 species